rnacentral:rRNA from 1 species
GAUGAACGCUGGCGGCGUGCCUAAUACAUGCAAGUCGAGCGAACAGACGAGGAGCUUGCUCCUCUGACGUUAGCGGCGGAAGGGUGAGUAACACGUGGAUAACCUACCUAUAAGACUGGGAUAACUUCGGGAAACCGGAGCUAAUACCGGAUAAUAUAUUGAACCGCAUGGUUCAAUAGUGAAAGACGGUUUUGCUGUCACUUAUAGAUGGAUCCGCGCCGCAUUAGCUAGUUGGUAAGGUAACGGCUUACCAAGGCAACGAUGCGUAGCCGACCUGAGAGAGGGAUCGGACACACUGGAACUGAGACACGGUCCAGACUCCUACGGGAGGCAGCAGUAGGGAAUCUUCCGCAAUGGGCGAAAGCUUGACGGAGCAACGCCGCGUGAGUGAUGAAGGUCUUCGGAUCGUAAAACUCUGUUAUUAGGGAAGAACAAAUGUGUAAGUAACUAUGCACGUCUUGACGGUACCUAAUCAGAAAGCCACGGCUAACUACGUG